AGCAGCCGCGGUAAUUCCAGCUCCAAUAGCGUAUAUUAAAGUUGUUGCAGUUAAAAAGCUCGUAGUUGAAUUUCGGGAUUUAUCCGUUGGUCGGGCUUUUGGGUCUGUACUGGCGUGAUGGAUUUCUACCUUCUGAAUAACCGGCAUGUCAUUAAUUUGGUGCGCCGGGGAAGCAGGACUGUUACCUUGAAAAAAUUAGAGUGCUUAAAGCAGGCUAUUGCCUGAAUACAUUAGCAUGGAAUAAUGAAAUAGGACGGCAUGGUUCUAUUUUGUUGGUUUCUAGGAUCACCGUAAUGAUUAAUAGGGAUAGUUGGGGGCAUUAGUAUUCAAUUGUCAGAGGUGAAAUUCUUGGAUUUAUUGAAGCUAACUUCUGCGAAAGCAUUUGCCAAGGAUGUUUUCAUUAAUCUAAGAACGAAAGUUAGGGGAUCGAAGACGAUCAGAUACCGUCGUAGUCUUAACCAUAAACUAUAGCCGACUAGGGAUCGGACGAUGUUAUUUUUAAUGACUCGUUCGCGCCUAC
rnacentral:rRNA from 1 species